rnacentral:rRNA from 1 species
AGGGCGUACGGUGGAUGCCUAGGCACUUGAAACUGAAGAAGGACGCAACAAACGGCGAAACGCGGCGGGGAGCUGUACGUAAGCAAAGAUCCGCCGGUAUCCGAAUGGGGGAACCCGGCAUGCGUAAUAGCAUGUCAUCCGCAGAUGAACAAAUAGUCUGCGAGAGAGGUACCCGGGGAACUGAAACAUCUAAGUACCCGGAGGAAAAGAAAACAACAGUGAUUCCCUGAGUAGCGGCGAGCGAAAGGGGAGGAGCCCAAACCAGACCGAGGUCUGGGGUUGAAGGACCGCGAUACGGCAAGAAUCAUGGUAGGAGAACGGCAUUGAAAGGCCGACCGGAGAGGGUGCAAGUCCCGUAUCCGAAACCGUGAGGAAGCCCAGCGGGAUCCUGAGUACGGCGAGACACGAGAAAUCUUGUCGGAAGCAGGCGGGACCAUCCGUCAAGGCUAAAUAUAAGCAAGUGACCGAUAGUGAACCAGUACCGUGAGGGAAAGGUGAAAAGAACCGCGGGAGCGGAGUGAAACAGAACCUGAAACCGUAUGCUUACAAGAAGUCAGAGCACGUUAAGGUGUGAUGGCGUGCCUUUUGUAGAAUGAACCGGCGAGUUAUGUUAUCGUGCGAGGUUAAGCAGGAGAUGCGGAGCCGAAGCGAAAGCGAGUCUUAAGAGGGCGGCAGUACGAUGACAUAGACCCGAAACCGUGUGAUCUAGCCAUGACCAGGUUGAAGUUCAGGUGAAACUGAAUGGAGGACCGAACCGACCCCCGUUGAAAAGUUGGCGGAUGAGUUGUGGCUAGGGGAGAAAUUCCAAUCGAACACGGAUAUAGCUGGUUCUCCCCGAAAUAGCUUUAGGGCUAGCGUCGAGGAUGAGUCUUGUGGAGGUAGAGCACUGAAUGUACGAUGGCCCCAUCCCGGGGUACUGAGUAUAAUCAAACUCCGAAUGCCAUGAGAUAUUCCCGGCAGUCAGACCGUGGGUGAUAAGGUCCAUGGUCAAAAGGGAAACAGCCCAGACCGCCAGUUAAGGUCCCAAAAUGUAUGCUAAGUGGAAAAGGAUGUGGGGAUGCACAGACAACUAGGAGGUUGGCUCAGAAGCAGCCAUCCUUCAAAGAGUGCGUAACAGCUCACUAGUCGAGUGACCCUGCGCCGAAAAUGUACCGGGGCUAAGCAUACUACCGAAGCUGCGGAUUUGUAGUAAUACAAGUGGUAGGGGAGCGUUCCAUGCACGUGGAAGCCAUACCGAAAGGAGUGGUGGAGAGCAUGGAAGUGAGAAUGCCGGUGUGAGUAGCGAGAUGCAGGUGAGAAUCCUGCACACCGAUAGCCCAAGGAUUCCAGGGGAAGGUUCGUCCGCCCUGGGUAAGUCGGGACCUAAGGCGAGGCCGAAAGGCGUAGUCGAUGGAAAACAGGCAGAUAUUCCUGUACCCGCGAUGGAAAUGAAGGAAUGACGGAGAAGGCUAGCAUGAGCCACUUAUUGGAUUGUGGUCGAAGCGAAUAGCAGGUGCAUAGUAAAAUGCGUGCACGGAAUGUAAAACGUGAUAGGUAAGCGAAACCUUUGGGGAGUAGCGAAGCAUGCGAGGCCAGCUUCCAGGAAAAGUUUCUAGUGCUGAUUCCAUAGCGGCCCGUACCAAAACCGACACAGGUGGGCAAGGAGAGUAUCCUGAGGUGAGCGAGAGAACUGUUGCCAAGGAACUCGGCAAAAUGACUCCGUAAGUUAGCGAGAAGGAGUGCUUAUGAAAGUAAGCCGCAGUGAAGAGGCCCAAGCGACUGUUUAACUAAAACACAGCUCUCUGCGAAGUCGCAAGACGAAGUAUAGGGGGUGACGCCUGCCCGGUGCUGGAAGGUUAAGAGGAUUUGUCAGUUUCGACGAAGCAAUGAAUUGAAGCCCCAGUGAACGGCGGCCGUAACUAUAACGGUCCUAAGGUAGCGAAAUUCCUUGUCAGGUAAGUUCUGACCCGCACGAAAGGCGUAACGAUUUGGGCGCUGUCUCGGCAGCAGACUCGGUGAAAUCUUAGUACCUGUGAAAAUGCAGGUUACCCGCAACUAGACGGAAAGACCCCAUGGAGCUUUACUGCAGCCUGAUAUUGGAUUUUGAUCAGAGAUGUACAGGAUAGGUGGGAGACGAAGAAGGAUGCACGCCAGUGUAUCUGGAGUCGACGUUGGGAUACCACUCUUGUCUGAUUGGAGUUCUAACCUGCGUCCAUGAAGCUGGACGGGGGACCGUGUCAGGCAGGCAGUUUGACUGGGGCGGUCGCCUCCCAAAGAGUAACGGAGGCGCCCAAAGGUACGCUCAGAUUGGACGGAAAUCAAUCGGCGAGUGCAAAUGCAGAAGCGUGCUUGACUGUGAGACAAACAGGUCGAACAGGGACGAAAGUCGGGAUUAGUGAUCCGGCGGUGCCGAAUGGAAGGGCCGUCGCUCAACGGAUAAAAGCUACCCUGGGGAUAACAGGCUGAUCUCGCCCAAGAGUUCACAUCGACGGCGAGGUUUGGCACCUCGAUGUCGGCUCAUCGCAUCCUGGAGCUGAAUUCGGUUCCAAGGGUUGGGCUGUCCGCCCAUUAAAGCGGUACGCGAGCUGGGUUCAGAACGUCGUGAGACAGUUCGGUCCCUAUCUGUUGUGGGCGUAGGAGAUUUGAGGAGAGCUGUCCUUAGUACGAGAGGACCGGGAUGGACCUACCGCUGGUGCACCGGUUGUUGUGCCAACAGCAUAGCCGGGUAGCUAAGUAGGGAAGGGAUAAGCGCUGAAAGCAUCUAAGCGCGAAGCCUACUCCAAGAUGAGAUCUCCCAUACGCAAGUAGUAAGACCCCUUGA